rnacentral:lncRNA from 1 species
UUGAGGACAAACUGGCUUUCAUUCAUUUCUCCACAGCUUUCCCAGAUAUCUCUGAAGAUACCAUUUUGAAUAGGACUCACAUCACUCACUGCCUUGGUAGGGUCAUCUUUGUUCCACAAGAGGAAAACUGUCCACGAGAGUUCUAGGAUGGAUUUACCAGCUCUUCUUCUCUCCUGAAGACUGUUGUCCUGCCUAUGCCCAGACCCAUCUACAUCAGAUCUGAGGAGUGAGUCUUCUAAACUAUGAAGGACAUAUUAUAAUAUUCAAUAAACAAUCUGUGGCCUCCAUAUGCACAGAAUGUGAUGCUGGGCAAACAGAGAGCUCUGAGCAAAAGUUCUAAGAAAGAAAGUCUUCUAAUGGAAGCAUCUGCAAGCCUGAUGAACUAAUUUGAACCUCAGUGACCAUGAAGAGUUUGGAAUGUUACAGGUCCAGGGUCUAUUUACAAUUCAUCUUGGGUUAUCUUUAGCUCUCUAAGUAGCCAUUCUUUCCUUAUAUUUGUGUGAACCUAACAUUCUGUGCCUAACAGAUUAAGAAGUCUUUUGGAAUGUAGUAAAUCUGUGGCUUCCACUAAUUGAAAGACUGAGUGUCAUCAGGUAGUACCUGAGCCCUACAGUCAAUACUUCUCUGCAUGUUUUCACUAAUGUACCUGAAAACUGCUUUGAUCUUUUUAGUUUCUUUGUUCUGUUACUAUAAACUAAUUCCACAUUGGAACAUGGAAUUUGACACUACACCCGUGUUCCCAGGCUAUGGUCGCUCUUAUUUGGCUCUGGAAUAAAUUGAAAUGAGAUGUGUGCUUCUGCCUCAACAUUAAAUUUUCUGGUGAUAACCAUUACCCAAAGUGGUUCACAGAAGGUUUUAUCUUGGCUGGGCAAAUCACAGUGGUGGG